UACGAACGCUGGCGGCAGGCUUAACACAUGCAAGUCGAGCGCAUCCUUCGGGGUGAGCGGCAGACGGGUGAGUAACGCGUGGGAACGUACCCUUUCCUACGGAAUAGCUCCGGGAAACUGGAAUUAAUACCGUAGACGCCCUUAGGGGGAAAGAUUUAUCGGGGAAGGAUCGGCCCGCGUUGGAUUAGCUAGUUGGUGGGGUAAAGGCCUACCAAGUCGACGAUCCAUAGCUGGUCUGAGAGGAUGAUCAGCCACAUUGGGACUGAGACAAGGCCCAAACUCCUACGGGAGGAAGCAGUGGGGAAUAUUGGACAAUGGGCGCAAGCCUGAUCCAGCCAUGCCGCGUGAGUGAUGAAGGCCUUAGGGUUGUAAAGCUCUUUCAGUAGGGAAGAUAAUGACGGUACCUACAGAAGAAGCCCCGGCUAACUUCGUGCCAGCCGCCGCGGUAA
rnacentral:rRNA from 1 species